rnacentral:rRNA from 1 species
GAUGAACGCUAGCGGCAGACUUAAUACAUGCAAGUCGAGGGGCAUCAAGGUACACGAAAGUGUAUUGUUGGCGACCGGCGGACGGGUGAGUAAUAGGUAGGUAACCUACCUCAUACUGAGGCAUAGCUGGGAGAAAUUCCAGGUAAUUCCUCAUGAGGUUAUAUGACACAUGUGAUAUAAUCAAAGGUAUCGCAAGGUACUGGUAUGAGAUGGGCUUACUGACCAUUAGCUAGUUGGUGAGAUAAGAGCUCACCAAGGCGAAGAUGGUUAGGGGUUUUGAGAGAGAGAUCCCCCACAUUGGAACUGAGAUACGGUCCAGACUCCUACGGGAGGCAGCAGUAGGGAAUAUUGGGCAAUGGGCGGAAGCCUGACCCAGCCAUGCCGCGUGAAGGAAGACGGCCUUAUGGGUUGUAAACUUCUUUACUAUGCGACUAACUAGAUUUACGAGAUAAUUCUAUAGAAUGUAGCAUAGCAAAAAGCACGGA